rnacentral:rRNA from 1 species
GACGAACGCUGGCGGCGUGCUUAACACAUGCAAGUCGAACGAUGAAGAAGAGAAACGCGGACUUCGGUUCAAAUUUCACUUCGGAUUAGUGGCAGACGGGUGAGUAACGCGUGAGCAACCUACCUCUUACAAAGGGAUAGCCUCGGGAAACCGUGAUUAAUACCAUAUGACACAUUCAUAAGGCAUCUUAAGAAUGUUAAAGCUACGGCGGUAAGAGAUGGGCUCGCGUCCCAUUAGCUAGUUGGUGAGGUAACGGCCCACCAAGGCGACGAUGGGUAACCGGCCUGAGAGGGUGAACGGUCACAUUGGAACUGAGACACGGUCCAAACUCCUACGGGAGGCAGCAGUGGGGAAUAUUGCACAAUGGAGGGAACUCUGAUGCAGCGACGCCGCGUGAGCGAUGAAGGAAUUCGUUUCGUAAAGCUCUGCUCUAUGGGAAGAAAAGGACUGUACCAUAGGAGAAAGCCCCGGCUAAAUACGUG